UUAGAAGCAUAUGGAAAAUGACUAUUAAUACCCUAUGUAUUCUUUUCAAUAAGGUGAUUAAACACAACCGUCUAUAAUGUACAGACCCAACUCUCGCAAGUUCCAGGCUCUCCUGGGGUGUUCACAUCCAUCAUGUACUAUUUGACAAAUGUCUGCUUCAACAAGCUCCCUGUCUCCCCCAAAGGAUCUGAAGGCCGUUCCAAGCGAGGGUGCUUCUGAGGACACUGAGAAGAGUUUUGCCAUUCUGAAGAGGCGAGCCUGUGGAACUGUUUAAGGUCCUGUUCCCAGAAGAAUAAAAGUUUCUCAUUAUGGCAUUAAACUCUAUUUAUUUAGUAUUUGAAACAUGGUGUACAUGUAUGUAUUUGUAUAAACAUUUGUUACAUCUAAAAUCCACAACAGGUAAACAAUCUGUGCUUUCUUUUGUGUACAAGUUUGGGGUUUACAUCUGGAUAUUUUGGUGUUGUGGAGACUCAGUCUGUGAAGCUAAUCAGAUUGCCUCAUAUUACCAUAAUAACUGUGACAGAAGUGAUUUGCUCCUUAAAGGGGCUGUUCCUUGCCCAGAAAAGGUGUCACACUUUUGAACUAAUAAACCGGGUGUCACGGAAUCAAGAGAAACACAGCUGACACGAUGGAGAAGGUAUGUGCAGGGGACUCCUGGAGAUCCAAGUCAAUGCGUAGCAGGCAACACAAGCCAUGGGGUGACGCUGGGAAUUGAGCUCUCCCUUUUCAAACUGUUGGAUGUGAAUAUCAAGUCUCCCCAACCCCACCUGGAGGGGUUUCAUCCAGCAAGAGCUUGCCUUCUGCUCAGCACACUCCUGGGAGUAACCUAUGAGUGUCACAGCUGCAACUCCGAGGUGCCAACCAAGCCCAGGGCUCUGGCUUCUUCUGGGGUCAGGCCGCUCUUCAGGGUUCUUCGCACUGCAGUGGUGGUGCAGGUCACACCCAAAGGGAUGAGAAGAAAAGGAAGUAUGAGCAGCAAGGCACAGGGCAGUCAAGACUCCAGUCCCCCCUUCUCCCCAGGGACUUCCAGAGAAGCCAGAGGGUUCACACUCUGUACCUUCCUGCUCUUGCUGAAGUGCCCUGCAGUCUGUCUGCCAGGACAAAAGUUUGGGGCUACACAGGCUGGCCUAACAAUGCCACAGGUGCUGAUUUGGAGGGCCGAGAGGAGUGAUGCGGGCACUUAUAAAGAGGAGAGAAAGGAGGAGAGGCUCACCCUCACGAGGCUUCUGAGAAGGGGGUGAACUGCAGAAGUGCAGAGGGCAGGAGAGACCUCAGCAUCUACCCAGUAUGAGGAGUGUAUCAGAGCUGGGAAGGUGAUUCCAGAGCAGGGGAAAAUGCAAGCUCCACUAAUACAAAUGAGGUGAGGCAACCAGUGCACAGCGAGGGGUUCCACAAGACCCAACAACCUCACAAAUCCAACAGACGACCAACAAUAGCUGGGGACAUGCUCAAGACCCACAGAGCAAGUGCAUGAAGCCAGGGCAAGGGGCAGCAGUGAGGACAAAUCUCUCCAUGAGUACUGUGGGUCUUAGCCUCAACUCACUAAAAGGCCUCUAGAGACAAUAAUUAAAAUAACCAGUGGCUCCUCGAGGAAUGGAGGCUAAGGAGCAAACUGCCAAACUUAUUCUGGCUGGAAUUGGUGGCUGUUUUCUAUGGAACACACAAGACUCAAGAAUGGCCAAUGACCACUCUCACUGGGGGGUUGCAGUUGGCAACUGGAGGGAUGCUCAUAUUUAACUGACUUAGAAUUGGCUUGUGUUUAGCUUGGCAUGAUGGUAUUCCCAUUGUUUAGUAUUUCAAUUUCAACAUCAAAAUAAAGGCUGGAUAAGGGUGAAUGAGGAGGUAGCUGCCUCACCCAAGACAAGUCUUCAUUUGAAAGGGUGGCUAAUUACAUUUUCCUUAAUUUACAAAUUGUAUUUGACCCACUGUGUAUUUCUUUAAAGUUCGCACAGAGUUUGGGGUAUUCAUUUUCAGAAGAGAAACGUUAUGGAUCUGCCUUCACCCUAAAUCCCUAAAUCAGCCAGAGUUCCUGAGAUGACCAGGGCAGGCUGUUGAUCAAAGUUCAGAGAAAGUAAGCUCACCUUAAUGUCUCCCCAGUUCCUUUGCCAACUCCCCUCAUCUACUCCCCAGAGGCCAGGGCCCACCUCAUGCAUCUGCAGGCCACACCCCAUGGUCUAUGCCUUCCCAUCAUCCCCUAAAUAUAAGCUCACUCAGCCUGUGGACAAAAGAUCUGAAAGACCUAUGUCCAUGGCAGAAUCAAUGGGGACUAAUACCUAUUAUGAAAAUAAAGGGCUCCUUCUCUUCCAGGAAUCAGCACUUGGAACAGGGGUCAACAUAAUAUCCAUCAAUUGGUCAACCAACAAAUGAUUUAUUGAGAACCCAUUGUGUGCUCAGCAUUUAACUCAAAGAAUCAAAACACAGACAUCAAGUAUGGGUUUUUAGAGAGACAUGGGAUAUGUGGUGAGGGGUUCUCUCAAAUCGUGUUACUGCAACUACUGUAUUUCCAAGCCUACCUUUGGGCCCUGAAGCAAUCUAUCUGUAGCUGUUCUUGCACUAGCUCCUCUUUCCCCCACCCCUGAUCCCUUGGCCUCCAGACUGAAUGUUUGGCUCAACAAGACAAAAUGUUUGGCUCCUAAGUCUCAGCUGGAGACAGAUUACAUUCAACUGAGCAACAGAAUUUGUUCUAUGGGGCAGCAAUAAAAAUACUAGUUUGUAAUAACCUUUUAUGUUCUUUAAAGACUCC
rnacentral:lncRNA from 1 species